CCGACAAUGAGGCCGGGGACGGGAGCCGAGCGUGGAGGCCUCAUGAUGGGGCACCCUGGCAUGCAUUAUGCACCGAUGGGAAUGCACCCAAUGGGUCAGAGAGCAAAUAUGCCUCCUGUACCUCAUGGAAUGAUGCCACAAAUGAUGCCCCCUAUGGGAGGGCCACCAAUGGGACAAAUGCCUGGAAUGAUGUCCUCAGUAAUGCCUGGAAUGAUGAUGUCUCAUAUGUCUCAGGCUUCCAUGCAACCUGCCUUACCGCCAGGAGUAAAUAGUAUGGAUGCAGCAGCAGGUGCAGCAUCUGGUGUAAAAUCAAUGUGGACUGAACAUAAAUCACCUGAUGGAAGAACUUACUACUACAAUACUGAAACGAAACAGCCCACCUGGGAGAAACCAGAUGAUCUUAAAAUGCCUGCUGAGCAACUCUUAUCUAAAUGCCCUUGGAAGGAAUAUAAGUCUGAUUCUGGAAAGCCUUAUUAUUAUAAUUCUCAAACAAAAGAAUCGCGCUGGGCCAAACCUAAAGAACUUGAGGAUCUUGAAGGAUACCAGAAUACCAUUGUUGCUAGAGAUCUUAUUACAAAAUCAAACCUGCAUGCCAUGAUCAAAGCUGAAGAAAGCAGCAAACAAGAAGAUUGCAGCACAUCAGCAGCUCCAGUUCCUACAACAGAAAUUCCUACUACUAUGACCACCAUGGCUGCUGCAGAAGCCGCAGCUGUUGUUGUUGCUGCAGCAGCUGCAGCUGCAGCUGCAGCAGCUGCAGCAGCAGCCAAUGCUAGUGCUUCCACUUCUACUACUAAUAGUGUGGGAACUGUUCCAGUUGUUCCUGAACCUGAAGUUACUUCCAUUGUUGCAACUGUUGUAGAUAAUGAAAAUACAGUAAAUAUUUCAACUGAAGAACAAGCACAGCUUACUAAUACCUCUACUAUUCAGGAUCUAAGUGUUGAAGUAUCUAGUAAUGUAGAAGAAACAUCUAAGCUGGAAGCUGUAGCAAAUUUUACUCCCAAAAAAGAAGAGGAAGAGAACCAACCAGCAAAAAAAACUUAUACUUAGAAUACGAAGGAAGAGGCAAAGCACACAUUCAAAGAAUUACUAAAAGAAAAGCGGGUACCAUCCAAUGCUUCAUGGGAGCAAGCUAUGAAGAUGAUCAUUAAUGAUCCACGAUACAGUGCGUUAGCAAAAUUGAGUGAGAAAAAGCAGGCCUUUAAUGCCUAUAAAGUACAGAGAGAGAAAGAGGAAAAAGAAGAAGCAAGAUCAAAAUACAAAGAAGCUAAGGAAUCCUUUCAGCGUUUUCUAGAAAAUCAUGAGAAAAUGACCUCUACAACCAGAUAUAAAAAAGCAGAACAAAUGUUUGGAGAGAUGGAAGUCUGGAAUGCAAUAUCUGAACGUGAUCGUCUUGAAAUCUAUGAGGAUGUUUUAUUCUUUCUGUCAAAAAAAGAAAAGGAACAAGCAAAGCAGUUGCGAAAGAGAAAUUGGGAAGCCUUAAAAAACAUACUUGAAAAUAUGGCUAAUGUAAUGUACUCUACUACUUGGUCAGAGGCCCAGCAGUAUCUAAUGGAUAAUCCAACUUUUGCAGAAGAUGAAGAGUUACAGAACAUGGACAAAGAAGAUGCAUUAAUUUGCUUUGAAGAACACAUUCGGGCUUUAGAAAAGGAGGAGGAAGAAGAAAAGCAGAAAAGCUUGCUGAGAGAAAGGCGACGGCAGCGUAAAAAUAGGGAAUCUUUCCAGAUAUGUUUAGAUGAACUACAUGAACAUGGACAACUACAUUCUAUGUCAUCUUGGAUGGAACUGUAUCCAACCAUUAGUUCUGACAUUAGAUUUACUAAUAUGCUUGGUCAGCCUGGAUCAACUGCCCUUGAUCUUUUCAAGUUUUAUGUUGAGGAUCUUAAAGCACGUUAUCACGAUGAAAAAAAGAUAAUAAAAGACAUUCUAAAGGAUAAAGGAUUUGUAGUUGAAGUAAAUACUACAUUUGAAGAUUUUGUGGCAAUAAUCAGUUCAACUAAACGAUCAACUACCUUAGAUGCUGGAAAUAUCAAGUUGGCUUUCAAUAGGCACUGCAGGAUGGAUUAA